rnacentral:lncRNA from 1 species
GGUCAUCAUACUGCCACUCCCUGAUACGAUCGAAUAUUGAAGAUCGAGAAACCACAUAGGCUAGAACCCGACUGGGCUUCGAAAGAUCCAAUAUCACAAACUUGUUGGCUAAGGCCUGAACAUCCAUUAUCCUAGGCCUCUCUUAUGCUGGUAGAUAUGCCAAACUUCCCAAACUCUUUGCUCAGCAACUCAAGGCAUCGGCCACCACAUUGGCCUUGCACGGGUGAUACAGAAUAGUAA